UUCUCUUUGUUUGGUUCUUAUCUGUUUUGAUUUUAAUUACAUAUAAUGUUGAUUUGUUCUCCACCUUAUGACUUGUUAGUUUCUUGUUGUUGGCCUAUUAUUUCUAAGUAUCCAAGUUCUGUUCAUCCAAAAAACACCAACCCCAUUCAUAAUAACUCUCUAACCUACCAUCCAUUCCUACAACAGAAAUUUAAGAGCACAAUCUGUUUGAGAAAAGGUUUCACAGAAAAUGAAACACGAGCCUCUUCAUUUGUAACAUAACACCCUCUCUACUGUUAUAGAGACUCUAUAUUAUUGUGGCUGAGAAAAAAAAAACACUUAUACAUAUUAAUAUUUUUGGCAAUGGAAGAUUCAAGCAAGAUACUAAGAAGAUCUAUUAAUUGUUUUCUUCAAAACUAUCACUAUUUUACCUCAACAGUAAAUGCGGUAAAUCAUUUUAUUGUGAAGCAACUUCUCAUUUUAGUUUUCGUGAUUUUUCAUGCCUAAACCUAACAGGGCUAAAGCUCAGGAUUCUUGAUUAUAUAGAUGUUUAAACUCUGGAGUAUCUUUCUCUAACAAUAGCUAUAUCACCUAAUAUUUGACUUAAAUGUGAAAUGAAACCAUGAUAAGCAUAUGCAUAUAGGCAUCGCUUGAGUUAUUGUCAUUCUAGUCGCUCAAUUUAGCUUAGUCAAGCUAUUGGUUCUAUCCAAGCAAUUGCCAAGGCAUCAAAAGAUCAAAUUCUGGAGAACACAAACCUUUCUGCUGAGAAGGCAGAGAUGAUUUCAAGGUUUCUGAGGGACCCCAAGUUUUACUCUUCUCCCAAGUUUUACAACAAUAAAUAAUAAUGGAAAGCUUAAAAACUUUUCAGGAUAAGCUCAAUGAGUCAGCACACAAGGUAUUAACUGAUUAUCAAGCUGCUGCAGUGACUCUUAUCGCUAUUAUCAGCUGCACCUGGUGAUACUGAUUUGAGGUUCCAGAACCAUGCUGUCCUUGCUUUCCACGAAGCUGCUGAAGCCUACUUGGUUGGUUUGUUUGAGGACACCAACUUGUGUGCCAUCCAUGCCAAGAGGUCACCAUAAUGCCCAAAGACAUUCAGCUUGCUCGCCGCAUCCGUGGUGAACAUGCUUAGGCUGAUUGAUUUCAUGCUUCUUGAUCGCUUUGGAAUACACCUUGUGUUACUAGUUUAGUAUUGUUCAAGUUUCCUAUGCCAUUGUAUAGUUCUCGACAACCUUUUAGGUUUCAAUUGAUGUCUUUAGAAUGAUUAUUUUGGUUAUGGUACAGUAGAUCAUAGAAAGAUACUACAAAUGGAAUGAUUUGAUUACUGGUGUAAGACAGUUUAUUUUGGAUUUAGCUCUUAAUAAUUAAUAUUAACUUUGAUACAA